rnacentral:rRNA from 1 species
GACGAACGCUGGCGGCGUGCUUAACACAUGCAAGUCGAACGGUAAGGGCCUCCUUUUUUGCGGGGCUCGAGUGGCGAACGGGUGAGUAACACAUAAGUAACCUACCUUUGCCUUUGUUCUGACUACCCGCAACUAAGUCUAAUACCUACUGGGAGCUCCUCCUGCGUGGUGUGGUUUGUAUAGUUUCGGGGGUUGUGGGUGGAGUGGCGGGUUCUCAGCCUGUUGGUGGGGUGGUGGCUUACCAAGGCUUCGACGGGUAGACGGCCUGAGGGGGUGACCGGCAACAUUGGGACUGAGAUACGGCCCAGACGCGUGCGGGAGUCAGCAGUGGGGGAUAGUGUACAACGGGCGGACGCCGGAUGCAGUAACGCCGCGUGGGUGAUGACGGCCUUCGGGUUGUAAAGCGCGUCCGCCUGUGACGAAGGGGGAGUGACGGUAAUGGGUAAAGAAGCACCGGCUAACUACGUG